ensembl:lncRNA
GAAGGACUUGAGUAGAAUUCUGAAUGAAGGAACCUUGACAGGAAAACUAGAACGUUGGAGCUGGAAGAAGUGAUGAGAAGAUCUGUAGAGGAGAUCAAGAUGGAGGUGGGACUCCACCAAGGAGUAGCUUUGUGCUCUUUCUUGUUUCCAUGGUGAUGGAAUGACUGACAGAUGAGGGUAGUUUCUGUCGACCAUCAAGGGUUUCAUUGAAACAGCUGUGGCGCUCUGCUGCCACCUAGUGACAGCUUGGUAGAAUUACAGAUCAUUUAAGCUAAUGAUCUUUUUCUUUCCUUCAGUCUUCAUUCAGUAAUGAGAUGCAGAGAAGAAGACUGCCCCCCCAGUGCUCUUUAGAAGACGGGGACAGUGUCAUUGACGAGCGCUUCGGUGAGACUGGCCACAGACCCCCCCCGUUCUACAACACCUCCCAACCCAACUCGUCGGCCCACCAGUACCCAAUCGGACGCAGAGGCCGGGAUCGAGGCGUCUGCAGCCCCCAGUCCCCUGAGCAGGAGGCGUACAGACGGCCAAGCGGAGAGGGUGGGGUCAGAAUUAUCCCUGUUGACUCGGGCAUGGGGGUGGAGGAUUGGGAGGGUCAGUAUAAAGUGUGUGAUGCAGGAGUCCUGGACGACUAUCUGGACACUGAGCAGAAGAUGUGGGAGGAUGAAGACAAAAGCAUCAUCUACCGGAUCAGUGACGCCGGCGAAUCCAAAGGCAGCCGGUUCUAUCAGACCGUGGAGUGGGACAGUGUCUCCCCCGAGGAAACGCCCCACUUCCAAGGCAGGACGGGGAAAAAGAGGCGUGGCUCGGGCACUGGCGAGGUGCGGCUGGUUUAUAGGCAAGCAGGCAGCUUUGAGGAGGAAUCUUCUCCUCCUGAAAUUGAUAUGAUCCCGUCUGUGAAGCAGCUGCAGAAGCAGUCAGACCGAGAGAGUCUCCUGUAUAAAACCAGACUGUGGGCCAAAACCGCUCUAGAGGAGACGCUGGAGAACUACGCAGCUUUCCGGGAGGAGGAGGCGGCUCGGGAGGAGGCUGCCAGGGUCAGGGCGGACUUUAACUCAGUGGGUUCUGAUGAGAUGCAGUUUUCAUUUGGAUCCGAGGAGGAGCUGGAGGAUCUGACCUUCACUGAAGCAGACGCUGAUUAUGAGGAUGAAAGCUACUAUUACCCAGAAGGCUAUAUGUCUCCACUGGAGGGGCGGAGCAGAGGCGGAACGGCUUACGGACAAGAGGCUCUGCUCCCCCCCAUGGAGGAACCGGCGGAUGAGUUCAUAGACCCGAUGGAUGAGCUGAAGAGUCUGGUCCACUCGGUGUCUGAGUACUUGGCUGUAAAGGAGAAGGAGAUCGACGGCUACGAACAGAUGCCCAAAUCCCAGAGAAGGAAACUUCCGCCUCUGCCGACGGAGGCUCAAACUGUGGACAAAAGGGAGGCCCGGCUCGACGGGGGGGGAGGUGAUUCUGCUGAGGGGGGGGCCAAAUGUGAUGUGAAGGAGGACAGUCCCGUUGAGCAAGGCAUAGCAGGAGUGAAAACUGCUAUGAGCUCUCUGUUGAGUUCCAUCACAGGAUCCAAGUCCCCAACCGAGCCAGAGGGCCCCGGGAUAGCUCCGCCUCCCCAGCCCCCACAGACGGACUCCAGUAUUUCAAAGCUCCUGUCAUUCAUCCCCAAAGGAAGCCCCGAAAGCACAGACACCUCAGCAACAGGACCCCCCACCUCCCAAGCACCCCCCCAACCUGAAUCCAGCAUUUCUAAGUUGCUUGCUUUCAUCCCCAAAAGUGGUGGCCCUCCCCCCCCAGUGGCCAUAGUUCCUCCUGCGUCCCAAGAGCCUACCACAGAGAAGAAGUUUUCCUUUCAGUCUCUGAUGCCUUUUCAGUCCUCUGAACCCGCUGGGACCAACCAGGCGUCCCUCAAGGGCAGCACCGAAGCGGCGGACAGCGGUGCCGCUUCUAAGCAGUCCAUGUCUGGGAUCGAGUCUGUGUUUGGGAGGCUGAGCCCUAUGAGGCUCUUUUCCAGUGCACCUCCAUCUCAAGAGCCGUCACCUCAGUCAGCAGAGCAGAGAAAUGCCUCCACUGGAGGCAAAGACUCCCAACCGGUGAGCCGGGCCCCGAGUCCCCACAGAGCAGAACACCAGCUUUCUAGUGAGCUACAGCAAGGAAGCGGAUCAGUAGAUCUUUUACCAGAUACAGGAAGUGGAUCCGUAGAGCUGCUUCCAGAAACCGAGUCAUCUGGUGAGCUGCCUGAUAGUCUGCAAAGAGGAGCAGCGAAAGUGUCUGACCCCAAACAAGACGCCACUGCUGAGGAAACGGGAUUUUUCAGUCCUUUUAGGAAAUCUCUUUCCACCCUCAUUUCAACUGUUCCACCGGAAAAUUCUUCGCAGACGGACUCCAGACCAGCAGAGGAGUCAUUUUUAGGGAGCAAGUUAAAGAUUCCCUUUUUCUCUGAUAAUGCAGCCACAGCCCCCCCACCCAAAGCAGAAGGUAGCAUGCUGUCAGGCAUUCUAAGGUUUGCAACAGGUGAAGACAGUAAUACUGUCUCAAAGAGUCCAUCCCCAGCUCCGGCUGGACCUGCUGCUCCAAGCUGCACUGCACAACUUGAAAGUGGACCAAAGGCAAAUGCAGAAACUGGCUGGUUCUCGAACCUGUUCAAGGUUCCGCCAACAGAGGCCUCCAAGGAGCCUCCCAAGAAGCAGCUAACUCCCUCUGUGCCUCUGACCCGUCAAACUGAGCCACACAAUGACCAAAAGCUCUGGGAAACCGCAGAGAAAAGGCCAUCCAGUGCAGAGCAAACCUCACUGGAGCAAACUACAUGUGAAGCAAAUGUGUCUCAAGAUCAGAGUUCCUUAAUGUCUGCGGAAAGAAAGCUGCAACCAGAAGCACCACAGUGUCCGAAGGGAGAUGCUGAGUCCAACAAAAAGAUCCAGAGAGGGGACAGCCAGCCCCAGCAAGGUGGUCUGUUCUCAGGCCUAUUUUCAACCGCCUCCCCGUCUCCCCAAACAGAACAGCAUUCUGCUGGACAACAGGCAGGAAGACUUCUGUCCGGAUUUCUGAAGUUUGCCUCUGAGACCGUCUCUGCACCAACAGACCAUCCCACAACGCCAGAACACCAGUCAGGCCAAGCUCAGGGGCAACCUGCUGCUUCCGAGCCGGUCAGUGGAGGACUCCUAUCUGGUUUGUUAAAAAGAGCUACAGAUACAGUAUCAGUGUUGCAACCCCCUCAGUCCAGUCAAGAGUCCCAUCCUGUACCCGCCGAACCAACAAAUACCCUCGAUCAAGACUCCAUCAAGGCUUCAGUUGGACCUUUGCAAAGCUCGAUUAAACCAGGCUCUGGAGAAGACCCCGCUCCAGAAAAUAUACCCCCAGAUCAGCAAGAGAAGCAGCCUGUAGUUUCAAACCAACAACCAAACCAGAAGCAACAGACUGCACCACCAAAAACAGCAACAGCAGGGACUCAACCAGCUGGGUUAUUUGGAGGUUUACUGAAGCUUUCAGAACCUGCUUCCCCACAACCAUCUCAAGCACCGCCCAAUCAGGGGAGCUUUCUGUCUGGCCUGUUUGGAAUCGGAAAUCAGGACUCUGUUCCUGUAAACCAACCACAGUCCUCACAAAACCAGCACCCGGUCAAAACUGGGAUCCAGUCUAAACAGCAACCAGGCAACAGACAGAACCUGCAGAGACAGCAUCAGGUUCCUCCCCAACAGCAACCCAGUGGUCCCGGAGGGAUGCUCACAGGAUGGUUUAAUAAGAUUGCAGAUGUUGGUACCCAGCAACCUGCAGCUGGAGCUCAGCCAGCUCAACAACAGGCGCAAAGACAAGGUCCUCCAACAACCCAGCAACCUCAGAACCAACAAGGUGGCUUCUUGUCUGGUCUUUUUUCAGCUGGUCCUUCUCCACCGGCCCAACAGCAACCGUCUGCUGUCCAGCAGAACCAGCAACAAAGCCAACAAAGUAACAGACAACCUCUGAGGAGGCAGAACCAGAUACCUCCACAACCUGUUCCUUCUGCUCCAGAGCCACAGCAGGGUGGUCUGCUGUCAGGAUUUCUCAAUAAGUUGGCAUCUGGUGACAGUGUUCCACAACAGCCCAGCACACAGGCCAGCUCUCAGCAAGGAAACAAAACGGCAUCCCAGAGCACUCAGGAAGGAGGGUUUUUAACUAGUCUGUUUGGACAGUCACCCCCACAGCAACAGCAGGAAGAAAAACAUCCCCCUCAACCAACGGCCAAUCAGCAAAGCACAGCCAAGCAGCCAGCUCAGAGUGGGGGGGGUGCUCUCUGGCAUCCUUAAGCUUGCACCUGGCAACACCGUUCUAUCGGACCACCAGUCGCCUCCGCUUUCUCAGGCUGGAGAACCACCCAAGCAAAAUCCAGCUAAACCAGAAUCCGCUGGACUAUUUUCUGGAUUCUUGAACAAAAUAUCAUCGACCGUAGAACAGCCAUCACCAACCACAGAUCCCAGGAGUUGUCAAGGAACACAGCAACAACAACUGCCUCACGUGGGUCACGCUCGACCUCACAUUCAGAGAACUAAACAGAUAGAUGUCCAUUCCACCCAAGAAGCAACAAGUGACAAGGAUCUGAAAGGCAGGGCACAGAAAAAUGUUCUGCCCGGUAUUUCUACGUCCUCUGAAGAACCACAUCCAAAGACACAGGAGCAAUCCUCAGUCCUGUCUGGGAAGGAGGAACCUAAAGCUAGUUCAAGUGGUUCCUCCCAAAGUUUAUUGUCCAGAAUUCUGAAAACAGACUCCAAUAAGGAGAAAGAAGGUCUAGUUCCUUCAAAGCUCCAGAGUACAGAUGGGAUCUCCUCCAGUUCAUCCACACCCACCACUGCUUCUGAUGCAGCUAAUGCAAUAGUGGAAAACGGUGAGGGCAAUUUCCAUUCUCAGAGUAGGCAAGACCCUACAAUAUCUCUAACCCUGCGUUAUCUUGAGGAACUCCAGCGCCUCUUGUACGGGACAGAAAACGAAUACGGUUACAAGGACCUCCUUUAUAACUUUACAGAGCAUGGCGUUCUUCCAGCAGAGCUUUACGAGCACCAGUGUCUGAUAGAAGCUCUCCUGUGGCAACAACUAAAUGAAUAUGUCCUCGCUGAAGCCCUCGCUUCUCCAUGUCAGAAUAAAAACCAGCCAUUGCAAGGACACACACCAACCCCCCUCACAGCAUCUCUGUGUCAGAAUCAUG